UUUUUUUUUCCUAUUCCUAACCUUUCCUGUUCCUAUCUCCUUUCAAAUCCCUAUUCUAGAGGUGGCAUAUACCAUAUCACUAUGAGCAGGGCUCGACAAACCACUGUUUCUACUUGCCCAUGGCGAGUAGAUUUCAGCCGGUCGCUCCGUUUGCCCCGUUUGCUGGUCUGGUGCGUGUGCGGUGCAGGGCUGGCGAGUAGAUCUUGCCGUGGUUUGUCAAGUCCUGAAUAUGAGGAUAGUUGAAAUCUCCCAUUUAUUACUGAAUUUUCUGCCAUUGUAGCCUCUGUAAUCUCCCUGAGCAUUUCAACAACCAUUGUCAAAAGCUGAGCAGGACUGUUCCCUAGUAUGCUAUUAAGGUUUUGUUCACUCCCAACCUAUGGGAAUGCCACUCUUUCACUCUCAGUGAUUGUUUCACUGUCAUCCUCUCCCCUUUUGAUCUCAGGUCACACUUUGAAUGCAUGGAGAAACUCACUCACAAUCCCUUUUUGUUGUUAUUGCUGUCCUAUUUGAUUGCUGGCUGGAGCUAGUGAGUUAAGUUUGAACUAAGACCAUCAUGUGUCUGGCAUACUGGCCUGGCAAACUCUGCUUCUUAGGACAACAAAGGAAGAAGGUGCUUCCUGAACUCCAGUUUGGUACAGGGAUUUUAUUUGAACAUUGAUCUUUCUGUCUUUCAGGAGUUAUUGAGCGCUGCACAGCUGUGAAGUACCAUUACACUUCAUCCUCUCUGCCACGCAACUUACCCAUCAAUAUUACCAACAUCAUCCGUCAGGACGAGUGGCAUGCUCUCCAUCUGCGGAGGAUGACAGCUGGUUUCAUUGGCAUGGCAGUUUCCAUCAUCCUGUUUGGCUGGAUCAUUGGUAUGCUGGGCUGCUGUAAACAGCAUGAGCUCAUGCAGUAUGUGGCAGGACUGCUCUUCCUCAUGGGAGGUACAUGCUGCAUCAUCUCACUUUGUACCUGUGUGGCUGGGAUUAACUUUGAGUUGUCUCGCUAUCCUCGCUAUGUCUAUGGGCUGCCUGAGGAUAUCAGCCAUGGCUAUGGCUGGUCCAUGUUCUGUGCCUGGGGAGGCCUGGGACUUACUCUUCUGGCUGGAUUCCUCUGCACAUUGGCCCCCUCGCUCAAUGCCUCUCGUACUGCUGUACAGAAACCCAGACAUGAAAAUGGAGCUGUGUGACCUCAAAGAGUGCAGGAGAAGACACUCCAGCAAAUACAGCCUAGGUAAAGCUGUAGGCUAACAGCACUGUGGGGAUGGUGCUAUACCUGUGGAAGAAAUGAGGAAUGUUAAAGCUGUUUGGCCAAGUCCUGUGGUGUAUGCCACUGUAUGAUUCUCCUGCUACAGACUCGAUGCAGGCUCUACACCAAGCCAGGGUUUGACUUCUAAUGUGCUCUUUUAUAUAAGAGGGAUUAUCUCCUGUGUUAUUUGAAACACUAACUGCACCUGUGUUCUAGUCCAGUUGUGGAGGAGUCUAGUUCAUUAUAAAAAUAUAACUGCAUGUGCAGGAGCCUGACUGUCCUUCAACAUGGCUUGGCCCAGCCCGCCAAUUUUCCAGAACAUCUUGGAGCUCCAGAUGGUUAGAGCACACAGCAAUUUGUCAUUUCCCCUCAGUACGGACUAAUCUGCUGCAAAAAGUGAGGCUCACUUGAAUGAAGGCUACCUGGUGGCUACCAGCCCCCUCCUCCUUUGGCAAGGGGGAAGUUGGUCCCUCUGCUUGCUACCUUACUCUUCAAGCAGCUGAACUUGGUCAUUCUUUAAGCAGCAGUAGCAUCUGCUAGCUAAUGCACAUGAUCCUAGUUACAAAUAUGUGCAAAAGCUAGGAUCAAUGAUCUACAAGCAACCUUCACUCACUAUAGAGCUGUUCCAGAACAGGAUCAAGGUGCAUUUGUCACAGUGGAAGUGUUUCAGCUGCUAGACUCACCCUCAAGGACCCCCUCUCUUGAAGAAUGUGAUGCCUACUUGCAAAGAAAGAGCUCUUGGUGAAAAGAAUUACUAGCUUUUACUGUUGAGGGAACACUUUAAUCACAAUAGCCUGUUGCCAUCUGUCCACCAGAAAGAAGCGUGGCUUUUACGCUAUACAGAGACCAUGUAUGAAAUUGAGCAUGAGUUCAGCUUUGUCCUCACAAUUGUCCAUCUGGAAGGUGGAAGACAACCUGUGCACAGCUCAACUGAUGUCAUGUCCUUUAACCAGCAGAGAACCAUUUUUGGAGGAAUGGAUGGUAAGCAGCUUGUUAACCAACCCACAUCAGCACUAGGGCUAAUUCAGGAACACAAGCCAAGCUAUAGCCAGGUACAGUUUUCUUUCAUACAUACCAUCCCCUCCUCCCAGCUUAAAGUGCACAGGCAGUGGGAUGUUUACAGUAUUUCUGUAACACAGCUGAAUAGCAUGUAAGUUAAACAGUGCUAAAAAAAAAUCAAUGUAUUUAUAAAGUGUCAUUUUUAAAUGGAGGUUGUGCGUCUCAACUGGCAUUAAAGUACUGAAAAACU